rnacentral:rRNA from 1 species
ACGUAGGGGGCGAGCGUUAUUCGGAAUUACUGGGCGUAAAGGGCAUGUAGGCGGCUCUUUAAGUCGCAUGUGAAAGUCCCGUGCUCAACGCGGGGACUGCGUCUGAUACUGGCAAGCUUGAGUCGCGUAGAGGGGGGUAGAAUUCCAAGUGUAGCGGUGAAAUGCGUAGAGAUCUGGAGGAAUACCGGUGGCGAAGGCGGCCCACUGGACGAAGACUGACGCUCAGGUGCGAAAGCGUGGGGAGCAAACAG